ACCUCGGUAGCUUAGUGGUCAGAACAGCAGGGUGUGAACCAGAAAGACCUGGGUUCGUAUCCCAGUCGAGGGA